ACAAGCGGAGGAGCAUGUGGUUAAUUCGAUGAUACGCGAGGAACCUUACCUGGGCUCGAACGUAAGAUGACUGUAGGUGAAAGCUUACAUCUCUUCGGAGCAUUUUACGAGGUGCUGCAUGGUUGUCGCCAGCUCGUGCCGUGAGGUGUCGGGUUAAGUCCCAUAACGAGCGCAACCCCUACCUUUAGUUGCCAUCAGGUAAUGCUGGGGACUCUAAAGGAACUGCCUACGCAAGUAGUGAGGAAGGCGGGGAUGACGUCAAAUCAGCACGGCCCUUACGUCCAGGGCUACACACGUGCUACAAUGGCCGAUACAGAGGGCAGCUACCUGGUGACAGGAUGCAAAUCUCCAAAGUCGGUCUCAGUUCGGAUCGGAGUCUGCAACCCGACUCCGUGAAGUUGGAUUCGCUAGUAAUCGCGCAUCAGCCAUGGCGCGGUGAAUACGUUCCCGGGCCUU
rnacentral:rRNA from 1 species